UAAAAGUCGUAACAAGGUCUCCGUUGGUGAACCAGCGGAGGGAUCAUUACCGAGUUUACAACUCCCAAACCCCUGUGAACAUACCACUUGUUGCCUCGGCGGAUCAGCCCGCUCCCGGUAAAACGGGACGGCCCGCCAGAGGACCCCUAAACUCUGUUUCUAUAUGUAACUUCUGAGUAAAACCAUAAAUAAAUCAAAACUUUCAACAACGGAUCUCUUGGUUCUGGCAUCGAUGAAGAACGCAGCAAAAUGCGAUAAGUAAUGUGAAUUGCAGAAUUCAGUGAAUCAUCGAAUCUUUGAACGCACAUUGCGCCCGCCAGUAUUCUGGCGGGCAUGCCUGUUCGAGCGUCAUUUCAACCCUCAAGCACAGCUUGGUGUUGGGACUCGCGUUAAUUCGCGUUCCUCAAAUUGAUUGGCGGUCACGUCGAGCUUCCAUAGCGUAGUAGUAAAACCCUCGUUACUGGUAAUCGUCGCGGCCACGCCGUUAAACCCCAACUUCUGAAUGUUGACCUCGGAUCAGGUAGGAAUACCCGCUGAACUU
rnacentral:rRNA from 1 species